GCUUGCCGCCUCUAAUCCCUCCUUUCUCCCUGCUUAGUCCUCAAUCAAAUACAUUGAUUAAGUUUUACAGAGGUUGUGGCUUCGUAGACGUCGCGCUCAAGCUGUUCGAUGAAAUGCCGCAUAAAGGGUUUCUUGGUCCUCUAUGAUUUCUUGCGUUGUGAAGAAUGAUUUUGUUUUCAAAUCUCUGGUCCUUUUUCAGCAAAUGCAAUCAAAGGAGGAUGUCAAACCGGAUGGGGUUAUUAUGCCAAGUGUUAUAUCUAUGAUUUCUAUCCUGGGUGCAUGGGAAUUGUGGAUUUGGGUUCAUGUAGUAAUUGCCAGGAGUGGAUUGCCUCUAACAAUUUCAUUGGGUACUUCUCUUAUUGACAUGUAUUCAAGGUGUAGGUGCAUUGAUUGCUCAAUCAAAAUUUCUAAUGAAAUGCUUGUUAAGAAUGUUAUUAUGUGGACAGUUUA